UUCGUCACACUAUCAUUAACUGAAUCCAUAGGUUAAUGAGGCGAACCGGGGGAACUGAAACAUCUAAGUACCCCGAGGAAAAGAAAUCAACCGAGAUUCCCCCAGUAGCGGCGAGCGAACGGGGAGCAGCCCAGAGCCUGAAUCAGUGUGUGUGUUAGUGGAAGCGUCUGGAAAGGCGUGCGAUACAGGGUGACAGCCCCGUACACAAAAAUGCACAUAUUGUGAGCUCGAUGAGUAGGGCGGGACACGUGGUAUCCUGUCUGAAUAUGGGGGGACCAUCCUCCAAGGCUAAAUACUCCUGACUGACCGAUAGUGAACCAGUACCGUGAGGGAAAGGCGAAAAGAACCCCGGCGAGGGGAGUGAAAAAGAACCUGAAACCGUGUACGUACAAGCAGUGGGAGCACGCUUAGGCGUGUGACUGCGUACCUUUUGUAUAAUGGGUCAGCGACUUAUAUUCUGUAGCAAGGUUAACCGAAUAGGGGAGCCGAAGGGAAACCGAGUCUUAACUGGGCGUUAAGUUGCAGGGUAUAGACCCGAAACCCGGUGAUCUAGCCAUGGGCAGGUUGAAGGUUGGGUAACACUAACUGGAGGACCGAACCGACUAAUGUUGAAAAAUUAGCGGAUGACUUGUGGCUGGGGGUGAAAGGCCAAUCAAACCGGGAGAUAGCUGGUUCUCCCCGAAAGCUAUUUAGGUAGCGCCUCGUGAAUUCAUCUCCGGGGGUAGAGCACUGUUUCGGCAAGGGGGUCAUCCCGACUUACCAACCCGAUGCAAACUGCGAAUACCGGAGAAUGUUAUCACGGGAGACACACGGCGGGUGCUAACGUCCGUCGUGAAGAGGGAAACAACCCAGACCGCCAGCUAAGGUCCCAAAGUCAUGGUUAAGUGGGAAACGAUGUGGGAAGGCCCAGACAGCCAGGAUGUUGGCUUAGAAGCAGCCAUCAUUUAAAGAAAGCGUAAUAGCUCACUGGUCGAGUCGGCCUGCGCGGAAGAUGUAACGGGGCUAAACCAUG
rnacentral:rRNA from 1 species